rnacentral:misc_RNA from 1 species
GAAAUGCGAUAAGUAAUGCGAAUUGCAGAAUUUCCGUGAGUCAUCGAAUCUUUGAACGCACAUUGCGCCCAUUGGUAUUCCGAUGGGCAUGCCUGUUCGAGCGUCAUCUAAACCUUCAAGCCCUGCUUGGUGUUGGGUGCCUGUCCCGCCUCCGCGCGCGGACUCACCUCAAAUCCAUUGGCGGCCCCCGCGUCGGCCACGAGCGCAGCAGAAACGCGAACUCGUGAGCCCGUCCGGGCGGCUCCCAGAAGCUACACCCACCCAGUUUGACCUCGGAUCAGGUAGGGAUACCCGCUGAACUUAAGC